rnacentral:rRNA from 1 species
AACGAACGCUGGUGGCGUGCCUAACACAUGCAAGUCGAGCGCGAAUGGGAGCAAUCCCUAGUAGAGCGGCGCACGGGUGCGUAACACGUGGAUAAUCUGCCUGGAUGCCCGGGACAACCUGCCGAAAGGCUGGCUAAUACCGGAUAAGCCCACGGACUCUUCGGCGGCUGAGGGAAGAGGUGGCCUCUGUAUACAACCUAUCACAUGCAUAUGAGGCCGCGGCCCAUCAGCUAGUUGGCGGGGGUAAUGGCCCACCAAGGCAACGACGGGUAGCUGGUCUGAUAGGACGAUCAGCCACACUGGAACUGAGACACGGUCCAGACUCCUACGGGAGGCAGCAGUGUGGAAUUUUGCGCAAUGGGCGAAAGCCUGACGCAGCAACGCCGCGUGUGUGAUGAAGGUCUUCGGAUUGUAAAGCACUUUCGACCGGGAAGAAAACCCGAAGGAGCCAUACCCUUCGGUUUGACGGUACCGGGAGAAGAAGCACCGGCUAACUCUGUGCCAGCCGCCGCAGUAA